rnacentral:tRNA from 1 species
AGAAACUUAGGAUAACCAAACCGUGGACCUUCAAAGCCCAAAACAUGGGAUAACCCCCCAUAGAUUCU